rnacentral:rRNA from 1 species
UACGUAGGGUGCGAGCGUUGUCCGGAAUUAUUGGGCGUAAAGAGCUCGUAGGCGGUGUGUCACGUCGGCUGUGAAAACCUGGGGCUUAACUCUGGGCGUGCGGUCGAUACGGGCAUCACUAGAGUUCGGCAGGGGAGACUGGAAUUCCUGGUGUAGCGGUGAAAUGCGUAGAUAUCAGGAGGAACACCGGUGGCGAAGGCGGGUCUCUGGGCCGAUACUGACGCUGAGGAGCGAAAGCAUGGGGAGCGAACAGG